UGGGGAAUCUUCCGCAAUGGGCGAAAGCCUGACGGAGCAAUGCCGCGUGAGUGAAGAAGGCCUUCGGGUUGUAAAACUCUGUCCUUAUCGAAGAGAGGUGGGUAUGUGAAUAAUGUACUCAUAGGACGGUAGAUAAGGAGGAAGCCCCGGCUAACUACGUGCCAGCAGCCGCGGUAAUACGUAGGGGGCGAGCGUUGUCCGGAACCACUGGGCGUAAAGGGCGCGUACGCGGUUUAAUAAGUCAGUGGUGAAAACUGAGGGCUCAACCCUCAGCCUGCCACUGAUACUGUUAGACUUGAGUAUGGAAGAGGAGAAUGGAAUUCCUAGUGUAGCGGUGAAAUGCGUAGAUAUUAGGAGGAACACCAGUGGCGAAGGCGAUUCUCUGGGCCAAGACUGACGCUGAGGCGCGAAAGCGUGGGGAGCAAACAGGAUUAGAUACCC
rnacentral:rRNA from 1 species